rnacentral:rRNA from 1 species
AUUGAACGCUGGCGGCAGGCCUAACACAUGCAAGUCGAGCGGAUGAAGGGAGCUUGCUCCUGGAUUCAGCGGCGGACGGGUGAGUAAUGCCUAGGAAUCUGCCUGGUAGUGGGGGAUAACGUCCGGAAACGGGCGCUAAUACCGCAUACGUCCUGAGGGAGAAAGUGGGGGAUCUUCGGACCUCACGCUAUCAGACGAGCCUAGGUCGGAUUAGCUAGUUGGUGGGGUAAAGGCCUACCAAGGCGACGAUCCGUAACUGGUCUGAGAGGAUGAUCAGUCACACUGGAACUGAGACACGGUCCAGACUCCUACGGGAGGCAGCAGUGGGGAAUAUUGGACGAUGGGCGAAAGCCUGAUCCAGCCAUGCCGCGUGUGUGAAGAAGGUCUUCGGAUUGUAAAGCACUUUAAGUUGGGAGGAAGGGCAGUAAGUUGAUACCUUGCUGUUUUGACGUUACCAACAGAAUAAGCACCGGCUAACUUCGUG